rnacentral:lncRNA from 1 species
GACGGCCGGCCGCUGGAAGUUCGGGCCCGCGGCGCACGCCCUGCCGCCCCGGGAUGCACGUGAACUUGGAGAAAGUCUCGGGGCGCGCCGGCGCAGACCUCCGCGGCUGGGCGUGGGCGCCCCUGGCCCCGCGCGCUUUCGUUUUCGUCUGGGACAAAGGUCCCUCGCGGCGCAGGUCGCGGACGUGGAGGCAGUGCCCUGCGGGCCACUCAGCGGGGAGGUCCGGUCGUUCAGUCAAGGGAAGCCGGAGCCUGGAGAAGACGAGCCGCGCGGUCGGAGGCGCGGUGCGGGACCAGGACAGUGGGGCCUGGCCGUGCGCUUCGCCCUGGCGGUCCAGGAGCUGUCUCGCCCUCCGAAGAGUUACGGGAGGUGGCACUGCUUUUGCUCUCUGCCCUUUCGACACGUGAAGGAGAGAAUCAUUCGGAACCCAGGACUCAGACCGGUGGCCGAGGGCCUGUGCAGCCGCGAGCACGACAGCGCAGCGCUGGCCGCGUCCGCGCGCGUUCCUCCGACAAGGGCAGAGCAGUCGACCAGCGCGCCCCAGUCUCGAUCGGGUUCAAGGCGACUCUUGAGGACGAAGGCGGCUGGUCCCAGAGCAUCUCGGAGAAAGCAGACACCCAUCUUGGCCUUUGGAAGACGCUCAAGGACCACGUGGCCGGGUCCACGGUCUCUGCCCUGCGCCUCGAGGGCGAGGCAGCCCAGGUCUUGCCCUUCUUGCCGGCCACUUCGCCCCCAGCCGACGCCUGGAGCUUGA